rnacentral:tRNA from 1 species
CAAAAUGUAGCUUAAAAAAAGCAUCUGGCUUACACCCAGAAGACUUUACCAAUUGUAAACAUUUUGA